GACGAACGCUGGCGGCGUGCUUAACACAUGCAAGUCGAACGGAAAGGCCCUGCUUGUGGGGGGCGCUAGAGUGGCGAACGGGUGAGUAACACGUGAGUAAUCUGCCCUUGACUUUGGGAUAACUUCAGGAAACUGGGGCUUAUACCGGAUAGGAGCUCCUGCUGCAUGGUGGGGGUUGGAAAGUUUCGGCGGUUGGGGAUGGACGCGCGGCUUAUCAGCUUGUUGGUGGGGUAGUGGCUUACCAAGGCUUUGACGGGUAGCCGGCCUGAGAGGGUGACCGGCCACAUUGGGACUGGGAUACGGCCCAGACUCCUACGGGAGGAAGCAGUGGGGAAUAUUGCACAAUGGGCGGAAGCCUGAUGCAGCAACGCCGCGUGCGGGAUGACGGCCUUCGGGUUGUAAACCGCUUUCGCCUGUGACGAAGCGUGAGUGACGGUAAUGGGUAAAGAAGCACCGGCUAACUACGUG
rnacentral:rRNA from 1 species